rnacentral:lncRNA from 1 species
GGACGACAUAGACAUCAACAGAGAAGGCAUCUAUAAAUUAAUUAAAAAUAUAAACCCAAAAAAGGCAACAGGACCUGAUAACAUUACUGGAAUAGUGCUUAAAGAAAACAUCAACACAUGCACAGACAUACUCACUCUAAUUUUUACAAAAUCAAUGCAAACAGGAAAAGUACCUCACGAUUGGAACCACGCAAAUGUAACACCUGUUUUCAAAAAAGGAGACAAACAUCAUCCUGGUAACUAUCGUCCAAUUUCACUUACAUGUAUUUCAUGCAAAUUAUUAGAGCACAUAAUUGCAAGCAACAUUAUGAAACACCUUGAAUCCAACAACAUACUUUAUGACUUGCAACACG